AUUCAAUGCCCUCUUUUAAUAGUG
rnacentral:piRNA from 1 species